AGACUCAACCUUUCGGGUUCUACCCGGCUGGUUGGAUUUGGGCGUUGCCUAUUGCUGGCUCGCCUUAAAAGCGUUAGUGGUGUGAUGGGUGGCCUGGCGUAAUACGUUUCGUCAAGUUUGCUUUGUAGCACUGCUCAUAACAACCAUACUUGUAA
rnacentral:misc_RNA from 1 species